GAACGCUGGCGGCAUGCCUAACACAUGCAAGUCGAACGGCAGCACGGCAGUAGCAAUACUGUGGGUGGCGAGUGGCGGACGGGUGAGGAAUACGUCGGAAUNUCGCCCAGUCGUGGGGGAUAACUAGCCGAAAGGUUAGCUAAUACCGCAUACGACCGAGAGGUGAAAGCGGGGGACCGCAAGGCCUCGCGCGAUUGGAUGAGCCGACGUCGGAUUAGCUAGUUGGUGGGUAAAGGCCCACCAAGGCGACGAUCCGUAGCUGGUCUGAGAGGAUGAUCAGCCACACUGGAACUGAGACACGGUCCAGACUCCUACGGGAGGCAGCAGUGGGGAAUAUUGGACAAUGGGCGCAAGCCUGAUCCAGCAAUGCCGCGUGUGUGAAGAAGGCCUUCGGGUUGUAAAGCACUUUUAUCAGGAACGAAAAGCGUUGGAUUAAUACUCUGACGUGCUGACGGUACCUGAGGAAUAAGCACCGGCUAACUUCGUG
rnacentral:rRNA from 1 species